AUACGUGGCGCACGGCUCAGUAACACGUAGUCAACAUGCCCAGAGGACGUGGAUAACCUCGGGAAACUGAGUCUAAACCGCGAUAAGUGAGGAUUUCUGGAAUGGUUCCUGACUAAAAUCUAUAUGGCCUCUGGAUUGGACUGCGGCCGAUCAGGCUGUUGGUGAGGUAAUGGCCCACCAAACCUGUAACCGGUACGGGCUCUGAGAGGAGGAGCCCGGAGAUGGGCACUGAGACAAGGGCCCAGGCCCUAUGGGGCGCAGCUGGCGCGAAACCUCUGCAAUAGGCGAAAGCCUGACAGGGUUACUCUGAGUGACUUUCGCUAAGAAAGUCUUUUGGUACCUCUAAAAAGGGUGCAGAAUAAGGGGUGGGCAAGUCUGGUGUCAGCCGCCGCGGUAAUACCAGCACCCCGAGUGGUCGGGACGAUUAUUGGGCCUAAAGCAUCCGUAGCCGGUUCUGCAAGUCCCCCGUUAAAUCCAGCUGCUCAACAGAUGGGCCGCGGAGGAUACUACAGAGCUAGGAGGCAGGAGAGGCAAGCGGUACUCAGUGGGUAGGGGUAAAAUCCGUUGAUCCAUUGAAGACCACCAGUGGCGAAGGCGGCUUGCCAGAAUGCGCUCGACGGUGAGGGAUGAAAGCUGGGGGAGCAAACCGGAUUAGAUACCCGGGUAGUCCCAGCCGUAAACGAUGCAGACUCGGUGAUGGGUUGGCUUCGCGCUAACCCAGUGCCGCAGGGAAGCCGUUAAGUCUGCCGCCUGGGUAGUACGGUCGCAAGACUGAAACUUAAAGGAAUUGGCGGGGGAGCACCACAAGGGGUGAAGCCUGCGGUUCAAUUGGAUUCAACGCCGGA
rnacentral:rRNA from 1 species